rnacentral:lncRNA from 1 species
UGCAGGUGGCCUUCGUAUCAGACUGGCUGAGGGGCAAGGCAGAAGUCAACAAAUACAUCAAUCGACUACCCAGUGGCUCCUUAAGGAGCAUGACCAGCUGAACUGCUGUAUUGUGGAGUAUCAGAACAAGGGCCAGGCUAACAAGUGCAUCCAGCAUCAGCAUGGGUUACAAAGAAAUCUCAUUUAUUUUGCUACCGUCACAGACACCAGCCCAACCAGUACUUCAAAAGCAAUG